UUGGUCCGAAAGUUUGGGUUGUUGGAAUUGGGUGUUGAUUUUGUUUGUGGAAUCUGUGUGAUGCUAUAAAUAUAUGUAUAAUAUUUGGGUAAUCUUUGGUUGGUCCGAAAGUUUUUUUUUUUUUAUUUCUUUGAUAUUUUUGAGAUGUAAUUUUGUUAUCACAUUUUGAUUUCUUUGAUUUUCCUGGUAUGCUAACAAGGGACAAAGAAAAUUGUGGAUUUAUAUAUAAAUAUAUAUAUAUUAAGUUGAUUUAAUUUUGUUUAAAUUUAAUUAUUUGGGUUGAUUUUGUGUAGAAAUUGAAUGAGUAUCUCUUGGAAAUUCGGUCACUGGUAUAAUAUAAUUUUGUGGCAUCAAGAUGUCAGCAGAUGUGGCUAGAGCUCACGGUGGAGACGCUGGCGGUGAUCCUCCACCGGAUCCUACUAGGAUCCCGACUACAUGCGAGUCAGGAAUCCCAACUAAGAAAAAGGGUCGUGGCGCAGCUAUUGGAAAAGAUCUAGAGGAGAGGCGGCGUAAAAAUGGAAAACCACUGGAAGUAGCGUUUUGCCCACGA